rnacentral:lncRNA from 1 species
CACCAAAAGAUCCCUUAAAAUUACCAAGGGAUUACAUCACAAGUCAUUUAAAAAAAAAGGAGGGUAAAGCCUGAAACAUCUUUAACUAGUCACUGAAGGGGUUGGAACAUUAGAAGUUGUAGCUUCAUUUUCAGAAGCAACAAUAGGCUCGAUAACAACUUCUAAGGGAGCAACAAUAGGGGCAAUUUCAGCUGAGCUUGAAGUAUUAACAUCCUCGAGGGAAGCAGUAGUCAUGGGAACUUCCAUUCCCACAGACUGUGUUAUUGACGUUUCACCCUUGGUCACUGGAACCACAACUUCAACAGUUUCAGCAGUUGCUUCAAAGUUCAAAGGCUCUUCUACCCCAUGAGUUUCAAGUGCUGGAGAGGAAUAUCUAUUGGUUGGUCUGGAGAAGGAGUGUCAACAUGUUGGUUAUUCUUGUCAAUCGCGUCCCAGACUUUGUCUAACUCAGAUUGCAAGUUGAAAUUUUCUUGAGUAGCCUCCAGCAAAGCAUCGCGACGAGACUUCAGAAAAGCCCAAUAAAUCUCAUAAUUAAAAUUCUCCUUAAGAGAAUUGUACUCCUUCUCCAAGUUUUCAUAAUUCCUUUCCCACAUAGCAAGGUCGUUUUUAAUUAUCUCUUGCUCAGCUAGG